AGUGGAGCACCUAAAUUUCUCCAGCAGUACAUCACUACCCUCUCGCUCCCCAGCAAAAUUUCGAACUGCGUUGCGCUACGCUUGUCGACCAGCGAUGCGGCCUGCGGUGAGUCCCGGCGGCGGAAGGAGGAUGUCCCCGGGCGAAGAGGCUCUGCGGUCGUUGAAGAGGCCGCGCCACCCCGUGGAUCCCGGCUCCGGCUCCGACCCCGGCUCCAGCUCCGGCUCGGAAUCCGACGGCGAUUUCGUCAGCGACUUGAGGCAGAUCGCGUGCCUGCUGCGGUUGAUCAAGGGCGGGCCCAACAAGGAUCGCCAGAAGAUGUGCGAGCAGAUCAUCGCCAGUGUUGCAGCCAAUAUUCAGACUAUGCUUGAAGAUACCAAGUCCAAGUUUGAGAAGGAAAGGCAGAACUUGCUGAAAGUAUUGUCAGGCACUUCGAAAGAGUGUGAAAGUUCAUUGAACGAAGAGUACACCAAGCUUCAGGAAACAUAUGAAAUGUUCUGUGAAGAAAAUGAUGCACACUUACAAACCUUCAAAGACCUAUUCUCACAAGUUGAAGUUGAGAAAAAGAAACUGCUUGAGCAGUAUCAAUAUCAGAGGAAGGAGACGGCUACAUUGUCUGAACUUGGUGAAACCUUCUCAGAGAAGAUAACAAAUGCCAAACCAUCACCGAAAAGGAUGAAGCAGGAUGACAAGUCUUUUAUCAUCUUCCGCAAGUCGAUUGGUUCAUAUCUCGAGUGCGCAUCGGACGACGAUUUUGACCUUGAUGAUGAAUGACGCUGCUUCUCUUGUCCAACAUACUGAUCCUUUGAAGCGACACAUACAAAACGAUCUUGCUAUUUUUCUUUUUUUUUUUCACGUUUCCUCCUUUAACCGACAUCUUAUAGAACAUCUUAAGGCCAUGUUCGCUUAAUCCCCUUGCCACAGGGAUUGAAGGGGAUUGGGGAGGUUUGAGAAGGAUUUUGACUUGCAAGGGAUUUAAUCCCCUCCAAUCCCUUUCAAACCUCUUCAAACCCUUCCAAACCGAACAAGGCCUAAGGGUAUAUAUAUACUCCCUCUGUUCACUUUUAUAAGGCUUUGUAGACGUUUCAGACAGUGUGCAAAACAGCACAAUUUCACUUGUCUGAAACGACUUAUAAAAGUGAACGGAGGGAGUAGGUCAUAGGAGAGAAGGCUUCACAGUUUGUAUUAGGUACAUUGCCUCGGACCCUUUUUUCUGACAUAGGUACAUUUCCUCAGACUCUUGAAAAGGAAGUGUUAUCAUAAAUCUGUCUGCAAUGUUGGAUUGGCUUGAGAGGUUGGUGUAAGGCCCCAGAUUUAAAACUAGCUUCGACCCAACCUUGUGUUGGAUCGGCCAUUUACAUGUAGCAAUUCUUAUGUUUUCGUCCUCGCUUCUCGCAAAACGCUAACCACAGUUUUCAAUGGAACACUUGGGUUUAUAUGGUUGUAUGCAA
rnacentral:rRNA from 1 species